GGCUGUAACAUCCAUCUUUACCAAGUCCACCUUUAUGACCUGGUUAUUUAUAGGAGUUUCAUUUAUCUACACUUUUACCUGUAUCAGGUCAUGCAGGUAAACAAAGUUGUUAUAUUCAAUAUCAUUUUCCCUGUUUCUAAUGUAAACAUAGUUUAUAAGUGCUAGCUGAGUGAGAUCAACCUUGAAGCUUUAGGCAUUCAUUUCUAUACAGGCGAGUGGUGAUGAUAAGUGUAUAAAAGGGUGUGAAGAGGAUUUCCUAUACAUACUAACAGGAAUUAACAUCAUUUAUUGUACUUUUACUGAUAUAUUUAUCAAGAAUUUGUUACAGACUAAAACCUAACAUAUAACAGAAUGGGAUCUGGUGAUGGAAGUGGUGAAGGAAAAGGCAAAGCAGAAUUAUGUCCAGGAAUAUUAUGGGCAAUAUUGUGGUUUCUGAUCUUGUGGUUCCUAGCAUGGCCAGUUGCCUUCUUUAUAGCUUGGCUCUAUGUACUUUUAAUUCCAUUCAGUGCCUGUAUAGAACCACUCAAAGGUGUAUGUGAAGCCAUUUUAAAAGUAGUAAAUCUUCCUUUGACUUGUGCCGAAAAUAUGAUUGCAAUGAAACCACUGUGUGGAUAAAAACUAGAUUUUAUACAUCUUUUAUACAAUGUAUCUAUUUAUUCAAACUAAAAUAUUAGCUUAUUUAUGACAAAAAACUGUAUAUUUUUGUUUAAGUUGCAACAAAUAUGUUGAUAUUUUUUGAUUUUUAUUAAAUUCAAUAUACUUUUUGA